GACGAACGCUGGCGGCGUGCUUAACACAUGCAAGUCGAACGGAAAGGCCCGGCGCUUGUGGGGUGCUCGAGUGGCGAACGGGUGAGUAACACGUGAGGGAACUGCACUUGACUGUGUGAUAACUUCAGGAAAAUGGGGCGAAUACGGGAGAGGAGAUCCAGCUGCAUGUGGUGGGUUGGAAAGAGUCGGCGGUACGGGAUGGAAUCGCGGGUCAUCAGCUUGAUUGUGGGGUAGUGGCGUACCAAGGCUUUGACGGGUAGGCGACCUGAGAGGGUGACCGGCGACAUUGGGCCUACGAUACGGCCCAGACUGCUACGGGCCGCAGUAGUGGAGAAUAUUGCGCAAUGGCCGGAAGUCUGAUGUAGAAACGCUGCGUGCGGGAUGACGGCCUUCGGGUUGUAAACCGCUUUCGCCUUUGCCGAAGCGUGCGUGACGGUACUGGGUCAAGAAGCACCGGCUAACUACGUG
rnacentral:rRNA from 1 species